GAUUGUAAACUUAGUGGCGGACGGGUGAGUAACGCGUGGGUAACCUGCCCUGUACUGGGGGAAUAACACUUAGAAAUAGGUGCUAAUACCGCAUAAGCGCACAGUGCCGCAUGGCACAGUGUGAAAAACUCCGGUGGUACAGGAUGGACCCGCGUCUGAUUAGAUAGUUGGUGAGGUAACGGCCCACCAAGUCAACGAUCAGUAGCCGGCCUGAGAGGGUGAACGGCCACAUUGGGACUGAGACACGGCCCAAACUCCUACGGGAGGCAGCAGUGGGGAAUAUUGCACAAUGGGGGAAACCCUGAUGCAGCGACGCCGCGUGAGUGAAGAAGUAUUUCGGUAUGUAAAGCUCUAUCAGCAGGGAAGAAAAUGACGGUACCUGACUAAGAAGCCCCGGCUAACUACGUGCCAGCAGCCGCGGUAAUACGUAGGGGGCAAGCGUUAUCCGGAUUUACUGGGUGUAAAGGGAGCGUAGACGGUGAGACAAGUCUGAAGUGAAAUCCCGGGGCUCAACCCCGGAACUGCUUUGGAAACUGCCUGACUAGAGUGCAGGAGAGGUAAGUGGAAUUCCUAGUGUAGCGGUGAAAUGCGUAGAUAUUAGGAGGAACACCAGUGGCGAAGGCGGCUUACUGGACUGUAACUGACGUUGAGGCUCGAAAGCGUGGGGAGCAAACAGGAUUAGAUACCCUGGUAGUCCACGCGGUAAACGAUGAUUACUAGGUGUCGGGGGUUUAUAAACCUUCGGUGCCGCCG
rnacentral:rRNA from 1 species